rnacentral:miRNA from 1 species
CUUCAGGUCCCUGUUCAGGUGCCAGAUGCAGCAUCCCUUGCAGCGGAGUUUGAGCAGGGGUCACCUGUAAGGGGA